rnacentral:rRNA from 1 species
UCUACGGGGAGCAGCAGUGGGGAAUAUUGGACAAUGGGCGAAAGCCUGAUCCAGCCAUGCCGCGUGUGUGAAGAAGGCCUUCGGGUUGUAAAGCACUUUCAGUGGGGAAGAAAGCCUUGGGGCUAAUACCCUCGAGGAAGGACAUCACCCACAGAAGAAGCACCGGCUAACUCCGUGCCAGCAGCCGCGGUAAUACGGAGGGUGCGAGCGUUAAUCGGAAUUACUGGGCGUAAAGCGCGCGUAGGCGGUCUGAUAAGCCGGUUGUGAAAGCCCCGGGCUCAACCUGGGAACGGCAUCCGGAACUGUCAGGCUAGAGUGCAGGAGAGGAAGGUAGAAUUCCCGGUGUAGCGGUGAAAUGCGUAGAGAUCGGGAGGAAUACCAGUGGCGAAGGCGGCCUUCUGGACUGACACUGACGCUGAGGUGCGAAAGCGUGGGUAGCAAACAGGAUUAGAUACCCCAGUAGUC